UACGUAGGUGGCAAGCGUUGUUCGGAAUUACUGGGCGUAAAGCGUGCGCAGGCGGUGAUGUAAGACAGAUGUGAAAGCCCCGGGCUUAACCUGGGAACUGCGUUUGAAACUGGGAGACUUGAGUGUGGCAGAGGGGGGUGGAAUUCCACGUGUAGCAGUGAAAUGCGUAGAUAUGUGGAGGAACACCGAUGGCGAAGGCAGCCCCCUGGGUUAACACUGACGCUCAUGCACGAAAGCGUGGGGAGCAAACAGG
rnacentral:rRNA from 1 species